ensembl:lncRNA
GUGGAGUCCGGCUUCUUCCACGAGAGCGAUGCCAAGACUGUGGGAAAGUCCAUCAGGGACCGCGUAGCUCUGAUCAAAUGGAGGAGGGGGAGGACGGUGUCUGCUGCGGCCACAGUGAAUCGAGGCGACGGUGGGCACAGGGUCCAGGUGACCCCCCCCUCUGGGCAUCGGCGCCGGGGUUGCACACGUGGGCCCGCCUUCGCUGGAACCGGACGAGCCCGAGGCCGACCAGCACAACAGGCUGCGCAACCUGCCAGCCAGCGGCACGUCAGUGACAUCAGACGGCACACUCGAUAGUGGCAUGGGCUCCACUGUGUUCUCCGACUCCCACAGCAGCCAGCAGAGUGUCCUCUACCAGUCCCUGCUGGAGCCUAUCACUAUGGCAACGCAGCAGUGCCAGAGCAGUGGCCCGUUUCUAACAGAUGGAUCUCACUCCUGUGAAAAGGGGGAAGUUUGGGGGGCAACGCUGAGCCCAGAGCUCAGGACUCGAUUAGGAGCUGCGACCCGAAGAGGAAGCGCCCCGGUGAUCGACACUGGCAGAGCAAGUCAAAUUGCUCAACUCCACGCCCUCAUUCAGUCACACAGAUCAAUCAGCCCCACCCCGACGCAGCCGGACUACCAGUUGGAAGUCCACCCACCACAGCUCCACUCAGAGGCCGAGUGUGGGUUCCCCUUCAGGUGUAGCGUGCCUGAGUACCGUCGCUUCAGCGACACGCCAAUCAGACCGCCAUCAGAGGCCACCGGCGAGAACUCGACCCUCCCUGUGCAGAGCGAACGAAGGCACUCCGACCUCAGUAGCUUUCUGAGUCUGACCUCUCAUCACAAUCACGCCUUUGCCACGCUCCGAGGCCACGUGUGCCAGGUGUGCCUCUCUUUGCUUCUUCUGAGGUCGAGCGAAGGGAGCCACCGCCGUCCGCCCGUCGCCAUGCCAAUGCACCACUUUCCAUGUGACUUGAGGCUCAAACCGUCCUCCGUCGGAGCAGCGGCCGCCCCUGGCUACGGACACCUGAAAGGUUCCAGCGAUUGUUCAAAUUUCUCCCUCCUGCAGCAGUCGCUGUUCAACAUAAUCGGCCGCAAAGCAGCCCCUUGUCCUGCCCAGGCAGCCCCGCUGGCCUCCCCAGCCGCCCCCAGGCCUGCACACGGCGACGGAGAUAACGGCCCGAACAGUCGGCCGCCGUGUGACGGUUUGGUCGGGGACCAAGAACCCGUCCUGGAAUGUGAGGACGGUGCCAGAGAGCAGAGCGUUACCAGAGCCGUGGGAGUGGCCAGUACUGCAGGUCACCACAAUCAACCUUCUCUACAAGUCCUGCCGACUUCCAGCGGUACUGCAGCGGCGUGUGCACCGCUGCAGUACCUCCAGCCUGGACACAGCUACCCUCCCGCUCCGUAUGUUGGCCAACACAGCGCCGCCACACCAGCUGCAGCUGGUCUCUGUUCAGUCAACAUCCAGCAUGCUGCCGGUGCUGCCAGCUACACACCUCCGAGUGUGCAACAGACCCAACUUGGGGCAAAUAUCUCAGUAUCCGCUGUGCAGCAACAUGGUGCACAGAGCUACCAAGCACCAGGUCACCACCACCAUCAUCACCAACAACAACACCACCAACAACAACAACAACAGCAGGCAGCGGCAGCAAGCUCUUUGACUUUUCCUCUGAACGUGCAACAAACUUGUCCGAACUGCGUGGUCGCCACUCAGCAACAGGCUCACAGUGCUUCGGGAUGUCACACUCCGGUUCGGCAGCAGACUGCCGCGGCAGCGGCCACCCUGCCAGCACAGCAGCCAGCACAAGGCUACCCUCUUGCAUCUGUAGCCCCAACCGUUGCAGCCAUGGCCCAGUGUCAUAUUGCACAAGCUCCCGGUGCACUACAACACGUCCAAGCCGCGGUCCAACUGCCAAGUCAGAGCUCCUCCACACCAGCACUUUACAGCCAGCCGAUGGCCAUUCAACAAGAGCACCAACUGAACAGUCAGACCAACGUACAGCUGGCGCAACACGCGCGGCAGGCUCACAUUCAGCCUCAAGUCCAGCAUAACAAAGAAGCUCUGCACACCAUGCACCAACAAAUGGCACAGCCGCCUACCCGCCUGUCUCAGGGUCAGCAGACCCCAACUCUCCAAAAGCACAGUCAGACAGCCAUGCAGAGCCAGGACCGAUGCCAUUCUAUAGUCCAACAGCCCCCCCCAGGUCGCGCAGGUUGA